rnacentral:rRNA from 1 species
AUUGAACGCUGGCGGCAGGCUUAACACAUGCAAGUCGAGCGAGCGGCGGACGGGUGAGUAAUGUCUGGGAAACUGCCUGAUGGAGGGGGAUAACUCCUGGAAACGGUAGCUAAUACCGCAUACCAUCAGAUGUGCCCAGAUGGGAUUAGCUAGUAGGUUGGGUAAUGGCUCACCUAGGCGACGAUCCCUAGCUGGUCUGAGAGGAUGACCAGCCACACUGGAACUGAGACACGGUCCAGACGCCUACGGGAGGCAGCAGUGGGGAAUAUUGCACAAUGGGCGCAAGCCUGAUGCAGACAUGCCGCGUGUAUGAAGAAGGCCUUCGGGUUGUAAAGUACUUUCAGCGAGGAGGCGUUACUCGCAGAAGAAGCACCGGCUAACUCCGUGCCAGCCGCCGCGGUAAUUC